CACACACACACACACACACACACACACACACACACACACACACACACACACGGGUGUACACUCUCUGAAACAGCGGUGCAGUUGAGAGUUCAAAGCGAAGCCCCGGGGCCGCUCUCAGAAGGUGGGAGGGAGAAGCUGGUGAAUGAAAGAAUGAAUGAAUGAAAGGAUGGCGACAUACCUGCAGGGGUCAGAACAGUGAUCCGCAGGGGAUGAAGCUUCCUCUCACUGUUGCAUUUCCAUCAGGACUGUAGUAAACACGAUGACUCAUGCCCAACAGUUUGUGUUUUAAAUGUUGUAGGUGAUGCAUUUUUUUUAAGUUUUGCUUUGAACCUAUGAGGAAGGGGGGGAAGGUUCUCUGUCCUCACCUUCCACUCUCAGCUCUCUGAUCUCUCCCCCAGGAGAGAAAAAAAAGGAGGACGGGGAGGAUGCAGGUGACUUCUCCCUCCCAGCAGUCAGAGCUUCCCCAUGGGGUGCUGACAGCUCCAGGCCUACCCAGCCCAUUGUUGGACAGGACAAAGGCCCAGAAUAAAAAAAAAAGGUUUGAGGUAAAUGAGGGGUGUUGCUGGAUUGGAUGCUGCAGGGUAGGGGGCAAGACUUACCUGAUAAGAGUUUGAAUGAUGUCGUCUACUGUGGCAUGAAGAGCGGACAGGAGAUGGACGAUGAGCGCCACAUAAAUAUUUUUCCUUUUCCCACAGCUGUGGUGAAAAUGACUUUCAUGCUGCGUGAACUCUGCAACACAAAAAAGUGAAAACUGCAAAGCGAGGUCAUGCAAAAGCUCGGAGGCUGCUGAGUGAAGCGGGUGAAGUUGGGAUGUCAGGUGACCCGGCUCUUUGUUAUGGAAAGAAGCGGGGCUGAUAAACGCAGCUCAAAAUGACUGGCAGGAAUGUCACCUGAACAAUGCAGGGAUUCUCCACCACAGCAGCGUCCAUCAUCAUUAGAGUUUAACCGCCGUCGUGGAGAACUGCUGUGAAAACCUUUGUUAGGCUCUACUGUCAAGGAGCUGCGACUUUGACCCCUGACCUCUGCACCGUCCCUUCAGUUACACCGGUGAAGAAGAAAGGAAGAGGAAUCAGUCACUUAUCUGCAACUACUUUUAUAAGUGUGUUUAAAUGCUUUUAACAUGGGCACACUUGUUCCAACAACGAAAACAAUUGGCCUGUCCCAGUAUUAUUGGUGCUCAGUUGAGGCUAGUUUAGUGGUUACCAAACGUCAGAUCCCAGUCCAGAUCUGGACCCAGAUCAGUUGAUAAAUUUUAUUAGAAUUAAAUUACUGCUU